rnacentral:rRNA from 1 species
GGGGGCCCGCACAAGCGGUGGAGCAUGUGGUUUAAUUCGAUGCAACGCGAAGAACCUUACCUGGUCUUGACAUCCACAGAACUUUCCAGAGAUGGAUUGGUGCCUUCGGGAACUGUGAGACAGGUGCUGCAUGGCUGUCGUCAGCUCGUGUUGUGAAAUGUUGGGUUAAGUCCCGCAACGAGCGCAACCCUUAUCCUUUGUUGCCAGCGGUUAGGCCGGGAACUCAAAGGAGACUGCCAGUGAUAAACUGGAGGAAGGUGGGGAUGACGUCAAGUCAUCAUGCCCUUACGACCAGGGCUACACACGUGCUACAAUGGCAUAUACAAAGAGAAGCGACCUCGCGAGAGCAAGCGGACCUCAUAAAGUAUGUCGUAGUCCGG